rnacentral:rRNA from 1 species
UACAGAGGUCUCAAGCGUUGUUCGGAUUCAUUGGGCGUAAAGGGUGCGUAGGCGGCGCGGUAAGUCGGGUGUGAAAUCUUGGAGCUUAACUCCGAAACUGCAUUCGAUACUGCCGUGCUUGAGGACUGGAGAGGAGACUGGAAUUUACGGUGUAGCGGUGAAAUGCGUAGAUAUCGUAAGGAAGACCAGUGGCGAAGGCGGGUCUCUGGACAGUUCCUGACGCUGAGGCACGAAGGUCAGGGGAGCAAACGGGAUUAUGAAACCG